rnacentral:rRNA from 1 species
GUCGAGCGGGCGUAGCAUACGUCAGCGGCAGACGGGUGAGUANNNCGUGGGAACGUACCUUUUGGUUCGGAACAACACAGGGAAACUUGUGCUAAUACCGGAUAAGCCCUUACGGGGAAAGAUUUAUCGCCGAAAGAUCGGCCCGCGUCUGAUUAGCUAGUUGGUGAGGUAACGGCUCACCAAGGCGACGAUCAGUAGCUGGUCUGAGAGGAUGAUCAGCCACAUUGGGACUGAGACACGGCCCAAACUCCUACGGGAGGCAGCAGUGGGGAAUAUUGGACAAUGGGCGCAAGCCUGAUCCAGCCAUGCCGCGUGAGUGAUGAAGGCCCUAGGGUUGUAAAGCUCUUUUGUGCGGGAAGAUAAUGACGGUACCGCAAGAAUAAGCCCCGGCUAACUUCGUGCCAGCAGCCGCG